UACGAAGGGUGCAAGCGUUAAUCGGAAUUCCUGGGCGUAAAGGGUGCGUAGGCGGUUCGUUAAGUCUGUUGUGAAAUCCCCGGGCUCAACCUGGGAAUGGCAAUGGAUACUGGCGGGCUAGAGUGUGUCAGAGGAUGGUGGAAUUCCCGGUGUAGCGGUGAAAUGCGUAGAGAUCGGGAGGAACAUCAGUGGCGAAGGCGGCCACCUGGGCCGACCCUGACGCUGAGGCGCGAAGGCGUGGGGAGCGAACGGG
rnacentral:rRNA from 1 species